AGCGAACGCUGGCGGCAGGCCUAACACAUGCAAGUCGAGCGCCCCGCAAGGGGAGCGGCAGACGGGAGAGUAACACGUGGGAACGUACCCUUCAGUUCGGAACAACCCAGGGAAACUUGGGCUAAUACCGGAUACGUCCGAAAGGAGAAAGAUUUAUCGCUGAGGGAUCGGCCCGCGUCUGAUUAGCUAGUUGGUGGGGUAACGGCCCACCAAGGCGACGAUCAGUAGCUGGUCUGAGAGGAUGAUCAGCCUCACUGGGACUGAGACACGGCCCAGACUCCUACGGGAGGCAGCAGUGGGGAAUAUUGGACAAUGGGCGCAAGCCUGAUCCAGCCAUGCCGCGUGGGUGAUGAAGGCCCUAGGGUUGUAAAGCCCUUUCGGCGGGGAAGAUAAUGACGGUACCCGCAGAAGAAGCCCCGGCUAACUUCGUGCCAGCAGCCGCCGUAAGAC
rnacentral:rRNA from 1 species